CCUACGGGGGGCAGCAGUAGGGAAUCUUUCACAAUGGGCGAAAGCCUGAUGGAGCAACGCCGCGUGCAGGAUGAAGGCCUUCGGGUUGUAAACUGCUUUUAUAAGCGAGAAAUAUGAUGGUAACUUAUGAAUAAGGAUCGGCUAACUACGUGCCAGCAGCCGCGGUCAUACGUAGGAUCCGAGCAUUAUCCGGAGUGACUGGGUGUAAAGAGUUGCGUAGGUGGCAUAAUAAGUAGCUAGUGAAAUCUGGUGGCUCAACCAUUCAGACUAUUAGCUAAACUGUUAAGCUCGAGACCGUUAGGGGUAACUGGAAUUUGUAGUGUAGGAGUGAAAUCCGUAGAUAUUAGAAGGAACACCAAUAGCGUAGGCAGGUUGCUGGGAUGGUUCUGACACUAAGGCACGAAAGCGUAGGGAGCAAACGGGAUUAGAUACCCCAGUAGUC
rnacentral:rRNA from 1 species